GAAGCGGCAACAGCUCAAAUUUGAAAUCUGGCGCAAGCCCGAGUUGUAAUUUGUAGAGGAUGCUUCUGGGCAGCGGCCGUUCUAAGUUCCUUGGAACAGGACGUCACAGAGGGUGAGAAUCCCGUAUGCGACCGGCGCGCACCCUUUACGUAGCUCCUUCGACGAGUCGAGUUGUUUGGGAAUGCAGCUCUAAAUGGGAGGUAAAUUUCUUCUAAAGCUAAAUACCGGCCAGAGACCGAUAGCGCACAAGUAGAGUGAUCGAAAGAUGAAAAGCACUUUGGAAAGAGAGUUAAAAAGCACGUGAAAUUGUUGAAAGGGAAGCGCUUGCAACCAGACUCCGCGGCGGUGUUCCGCCGGUCUUCUGACCGGUCUACUCGCCGCCGCGGGGCCAACAUCGUCUGGGGCCGCCGGAUAAGACCGUGAGAAUGUAGCUCCCUCGGGAGUGUUAUAGCUCGCGGUGAUACGGCGCGUCCCGGGCGAGGUCCGCGCUUCGGCAAGGAUGUUGGCGUAAUGGUUGCCAGCGGCCCGUCUUGAAACACGGACCAAGGAGUCUAACAUCUAUGCGAGUGUUCGGGUGUCAAACCCCUACGCGUAAUGAAAGUGAACGGAGGUGGGAGCUUCGGCGCACCAUCGACCGAUCCUGAUGUCCUCGGAUGGAUUUGAGUAAGAGCAUAGCUGUUGGGACCCGAAAGAUGGUGAACUAUGCCUGAAUAGGGUGAAGCCAGAGGAAACUCUGGUGGA
rnacentral:rRNA from 1 species